CGAACACUGUAGCUACCGAACCCAAACCGAGAUCGAAUCGAUCGAUUCGAUCGAUCCUUUGCACUCCCACCUCCAUAUAUAUACUCCCCACGUCCGGCUUGUCUGAUUUUUCGCCAAAAUCGCAGUCUCCCGUGCCCUAGGUUGAUUUCGCGAUCUCGCCGGAGUUCCACCGCUGCUGACCUCCGCCGUCGUCGUUUCCGUCGCCUACAGGGAGUACCGAACCGAGCGCAAGGACCUCGAUCCGAAGAUCACAGCCACCGCACGACUCCAGCCACCCUCUGCCGUCAACCCCGUUCGCCACCGACGCCUCUGAGGACUUCUUCGAGACUGCAUCCGAGCUCCGCGCCCCGUACGCUACCCUCCGGAGUCUCGAGACCACCGGAGCAGGCGCCACCAUCGCCGCCCGAGCCGCCGCGCCGCUGUUUUGUCCAAGUCCGGCCGCCCCAGCCUCUGUUCCUCUUCGAUUGUUCGGAGUGUGAAGCGGAUCGGAAUUAAUCGUUAGAGUACUUCAGCACCGUUCAAGGCAAGUUUGCACUUUUGAUUUUGCUCAUCAUAUAUUCUGCUAUGCAAGUGUGAUUUUGGUGCUAUGAUAUAUGCUUGGCCUGAUAUGUGUAUCUCGUGUUAUGUUUGGUAUUGAUUGUGUUAUGUGAUGGUGUGAUCAAAUUAGUAUGGUAGACACGGGCAUGUGUCGAGUGAUCCAUGAAAGUGGUGAGUGUUUAUAGCCGUAGGCUCGGGAUUAUUAACCAGGUGAAUGCGUCACUGGCAGAGCGCUCUAUUGUCCCUAGAGAAUGCGCCAUUGACAGAGCGCACUUGAGGCAAGGUAUAGUUUUCGGAACUUAAAUCAGGUGAAUGCGUCCUUGGCAGAGCGCUCUAUUGUUCCUAGAGAAUGCGCCACUGACAGAGCGCACUUGAGAGACUUCUGAAGUUCUUGUCAUGUUUAUUUAGAAUCUUUGGGUUAUCUUGGGCGAGUAAACUAGAGACGGUUGUGAGUUUAGGUAGUGGAGGUAGGUGAAGACAUUCUUCUCCAAACUAACUUGUGUGUUUUGUUUGUCAUACAAUGCUUUGUGGAGGUAGGUUUGCUAUAUCAUAUUGUGUGAUUUGCCAAUACAUUCAAUGUAUUUACCCUUUGUGGCUACAACUUAUCAUGUUGCGGGAUUUUCAGAUGAUCAGUGAGAUACAGUAGGGUUGCGAGUCUUCAGUCAACAUGUUCUCCAGUGGGCAUUGAUGGACUCAUCGUUGAUUAUGCUACCUUUCCGCAGUUAUUAUUGAAUAAGUUAGCCAUGUGCUAUUUAGUUUGUAAUAAUUUAUAAAUUCUGGAUCAUACGUUAUAGUAAAUGAUGCACUUGUUAUUUGAUAUUCAUAUGUACUGUGUGUGCUAGCGAGUCGAUCCAGGGACUAGCACAGUGAGCACAGAGACAUCGAGUCUUAUCAGAUUCGAGUCGUUACAGAUGGUAUCAGAGCAGUGUGUUAACUGUAGGUCGUGACCCUAGAAAAUGGAUUAGAAAAGCCAUAAAAGUGAAAACUUACUUUACAACUUGUUGUCUACUUGUUAGUUCAUACUCUUGUACUCAUAUCUUUACUUUUCAAAUAUAGAUGACCCCUGAAAUUAUAUUAGUGUUAUUUAAGGAGUUUAGUUUGAAGACCACCAUUCCUAAGUUGUGUUCGAUAAACGAUUUGCGGUAGUAUGAUGAGAUCAUAUCUCUUGUGGAUAUGACCUUACCUGUAGGUUUUGCUUGUGUUGUGUGGUAUGUG